CCUACGGGGGGCAGCAGUGAGGAAUAUUGGUCAAUGGCCGGGAGCCUGAACCAGCCAAGUCGCGUGAGGGAAGACGGCCCUACGGGUUGUAAACCUCUUUUGUCAGGGAGCAAGGUGCAGGUCGGGACCUGCUGUGAGAGUACCUUAAGAACAAGCAUCGGCUACCUCCGUGCCAGAAGCCGCGGUAAUCGGGAGGAGGCGAGCGUUAUCCGGAUUUAUUGGGUUUAAGGGGUGCGCAGGCGGAGGCACAGGUCAGCGGUAAAACCGCGGGGCUAAGCCCCGCUCCGCCGUUGAAACUGUGUGCCUUGAGUGCGCGAAGGGUAGGCGGAAUGCGUGGUGUAGCGGUGAAAUGCAUAGAUAUCACGCAGAACUCCGAUCGCGAAGGCAGCCUACCGGGGCGCAACUGACGCUCAUGCACGAAAGCGUGGGUAUCGAACAGGAUUAGAUACCCCAGUAGUC
rnacentral:rRNA from 1 species